rnacentral:rRNA from 1 species
UGGGGAAUAUUGGACAAUGGGCGAAAGCCUGAUCCAGCCAUGCCGCGUGUGUGAAGAAGGUCUUCGGAUUGUAAAGCACUUUAAGUUGGGAGGAAGGGUUGUACGUUAAUACCGUGCAAUUUUGACGUUACCGACAGAAUAAGCACCGGCUAACUUCGUGCCAGCAGCCGCGGUAAUACGGAGGGUGCAAGCGUUAAUCGGAAUUACUGGGCGUAAAGCGCACGUAGGCGGUAUGUUAAGUUGGAUGUGAAAGCCCCGGGCUCAACCUGGGAAUUGCAUUCAAAACUGGCAUGCUAGAGUAUGUGAGAGGGGGGUAGAAUUCCAAGUGUAGCGGUGAAAUGCGUAGAGAUUUGGAGGAAUACCAGUGGCGAAGGCGGCCCCCUGGCACAAUACUGACGCUCAGGUGCGAAAGCGUGGGGAGCAAACAGGAUUAGAUACCC